rnacentral:rRNA from 1 species
CAGUGAUAAACUGGAGGAAGGUGGGGAUGACGUCAAGUCAUCAUGGCCCUUACGACCAGGGCUACACACGUGCUACAAUGGCGCAUACAAAGAGAAGCGACCUCGCGAGAGCAAGCGGACCUCAUAAAGUGCGUCGUAGUCCGGAUUGGAGUCUGCAACUCGACUCCAUGAAGUCGGAAUCGCUAGUAAUCGUGGAUCAGAAUGCCACGGUGAAUACGUUCCCGGGCCUUGUACACACCGCCCGUCACACCAUGGGAGUGGGUUGCAAAAGAAGUAGGUAGCUUAACCU